rnacentral:rRNA from 1 species
AGUGAACGCUGGCGGUAGGCCUAACACAUGCAAGUCGAACGGCAGCACAGUAAGAGCUUGCUCUUACGGGUGGCGAGUGGCGGACGGGUGAGGAAUACAUCGGAAUCUACUUUUUCGUGGGGGAUAACGUAGGGAAACUUACGCUAAUACCGCAUACGACCUACGGGUGAAAGCAGGGGAUCUUCGGACCUUGCGCGAUUGAAUGAGCCGAUGUCGGAUUAGCUAGUUGGCGGGGUAAAGGCCCACCAAGGCGACGAUCCGUAGCUGGUCUGAGAGGAUGAUCAGCCACACUGGAACUGAGACACGGUCCAGACUCCUACGGGAGGCAGCAGUGGGGAAUAUUGGACAAUGGGCGCAAGCCUGAUCCAGCUAUACCGCGUGGGUGAAGAAGGCCUUCUGGUUGUAAAGCCCUUUUGUUGGGAAAGAAAAGCAGCAGGUUAAUACCCCGCUGUUCUGACGGUACCCAAAGAAUAAGCACCGGCUAACUUCGUG